AUGGAGCUUCUCUGUUGGCAUGGGGCUGGAGUUCCUUCCCAGCUAAGUCAAACCGAACUGGAGCGCAAUGUAGAGUUUGAGGAGAUCAUCAUUCUAGAAGAGCAGCUGUGUUCACAAAUUAUAAGAGAGCUGAGGUCCCAAAUACCAGAAGGAUUAGGUUAGUGCCUAUCUUUCAUCAGAAUUUUCUCUAGAUUCCAAUCAUAAUCUUGUCAACACAACAAGAAAGGCCUUCAACAAUGAUGGGUUCUGACCUUUAAGAUCCUUGGUGAGUAUCAGGCCCUGCUCUAGGCCCCAGGGCCAAUUCUCCUAGGUAUAGAGGACUAAACCAAACAAAAUCAUGUGCUCAUGCCUCCUCCCAUCAAGAGUUAAGUUUGGGGACAGAUGGACCUACCUAGACUACAGCAAAGGAUGCCUUUUCUCAUCUGGUAAUUAACAUACCAGCUUUGGUAAUUAACACAUCUCACCAUCACUACAAGGGGACAAUGUAGGAUCGCCAGGCGUGAGGAAAACCAAAGAUGCAAAAGAGGAACAGAAAAACUACUGGUGGAGAAAACAAACCAUUAAGGGCACAGAAUAGAAAGUGUCUUUCCUAAGGCCACCUUUCAAAAGUGUCAAAAGUUCUAAGUGUCCUCAGAUCUAUUUUAGAAGAAAUUAACCCAAAGACAUAAAAGAAACCGAAACAAUGCAAAAGCUUUUACAAACUAAAAACAUAAGGUCAAACAGAAGCGAGGGAAGGGCUAGAAGGUAAAGUUGAAGGUGGUUCUCAAAAUGCAGGGCAAAGAUAGGGACAAACAUGAAAGAGAAAAGAAAGAAGGAAACAAUGGGAGUGUUAACCCCAAAGUUCCAACAGUCAGGGGCUGUGGUGGCACAGUUUGAUUCUGUUGUGGUGGUGGACGUUGUUAUUGUUUAUGUAUUAGUAAAAAUAAUAGCUAACAUUUGUUGAGGGUUUUCAUUGUACUGGCAUCUGGGCUAACCCGGGACGUCUUGUUUUAUUAUCCUACCAGCUUUUGAAUAGAACCAUGGGGUUAUAGCAGAGAAAUAUUUAGAAGGUAAAUGAUUACGAUGUGGUUAUUGAAUGUAUUUAGUUGCGGGGAAGAGAACGCCGGUUAAGGGGUAACUCUUGGCUGGUUGAAUAGCAACAACUGAGAUCAGCAAUGCAAAA
rnacentral:lncRNA from 1 species